GUGCUGUGAUGAAACGUGAAUGCCAUCUGACCUCAUCCCUGCGGAAACCCAGAGGCUGUUUCUGAGCAU
ensembl:snoRNA